rnacentral:rRNA from 1 species
AUGGCGACGGUGAUGGGUGGGAUGACAAUGGCAACGGUGAUGUCGACGAUGCAAACACAACCACAUCCAGCCCACGAGUGGGAGAAGGCGGCCUGCCCAUGGCAUACUGCAGGAGACGGAUCUCUUCCGCCGCCCCACCAUGAUGACCCCGGCCAAGGCGUCAUCCCUCACUACCGCAUCCAGCGAUGUUAUUCUCGCCUCUUCGAUUCCCUCCUCUGUGACCCAGGCACCCACACAGUGCGACGUGGUCGACUCGGGCUUGUGAAAACAUCCUCCUUUUCGAAGAAAGACAUGGAUCAUUCAGGUGAUUUCCGUGAGGAGGGUCGAAAAUUUUGCAAUGGUGGUGAUGUUGCAGAAAAAAAUUGUCUUCACUUUUAUGCAACAAAGAGCACCCGUCGCUCCUACGUUACCAGCCUUCCCACCGAAACCACCCAUGUUUCGCCCCACCAAAGCCGCUGGCUAGGACUACCUGGGGACCAUCGGCAGCCGCCCGUCGCGGAAGAGGAGGGGAGCAGAACAGCGGCCUCCGCAGCCAGGGAUGGCCGCAAGGGAGGCCCUCCCGCGCCGCGCGCCGCCGUCCAGCCGCAAGGGCCAAACCGGAUACUGUCUUCGUCACCAGUUUCAAGCCAGCACCACCUCCGUGUCGUCCGUCUAACGCCGCCAUGUCAUAGUCAUCAGUCAUCUCCUGUGCGCCCCUGCGUUGCAGCACCCGACACCAAGGCCCGCAUCCAGGCCGGAGUGACCCUGCCCGUGCGACAUCCCCCGCGCAUGGAGACGAACAGGCCCCGCCGGCACCAGCUGUGGGGGGCUCUGCGGGUUUGCCUUUCGGUUGCUUGCAGCAUCGUCACGGGAGGGGAGUUUCUUUUGCUUGCUCUCGGGCUUCACCGGUGGUCCUUCCAGCCUCAGUUUAAAAAGUUGUGCAAAUUUCAAAAUUCCAAUGCUCCUCGACCCCAUAAGCAAACACAGCGAGAGUUCGUUCGUGUGUCCUCAUUCUUUCUCCUCUCAAUCAACGCUCCGAUGGGCAACUCCGGCGAGAUCAAGCAGCUAGAGCUGGAGUACCAGCGGCGGCCCGGCCAGCCCGACUCCUUCUGCUACGUCAAGUUCGGGAGCCGCAGGUUCAGUUCGGAGACAGGCGAGCUCAAACAGCUGGAACCGGAGUGCCCGCGGCGGCCCGGUAAUCCGGACUGCCCGAUGGGUGACUCCCCUGGUUCUGCCACACCGUCCUCCUCGAUGAAUCUCGCCAACUCGAAGGCUGGCGAGAUCAAACAGCUGCAGCCGGAGUACCCGCGGUGGCCCGGCCAGCCCGACCGCUUCUACUACCUCAAGUUCGGGAGCAGCACGUCCAAUUCGGAGAUCGGCGAGAUCAGCGAGCCAGACUGCACGAUUGGCGCCUCUCCGAUAGACCCCUCGUCCGUCGCUUCAGCCACACCGCCUUCCUUGCUGAAUCUUGCCAAUUCGGAGACCGGCGAGAUCAAGCAGCCGGAGUACCCGCGGUGGCCCGUCGAGGCCGACUGCUCGAUGAGCGACUCCUCCUUGUCGUCUGUAAGCAUCACCACUCCUCCUUCAGAAGACAAAAGAAGAAUAAAGAAGAAAAGCAUCACCGCUCCGUUGGGUGACCCCUCCUCCCAUGGCUCCGCCGCACCGCCGGCCGAUUCAGAGACUGGCGAGAAGCAGCCGGAGCCGGAGUACCCGCUGCGGCCCGGCAAGAGCGACUGCUCCUACUACGUCAAGUUCGGAAGCUGCAGGUACGGGAUGAAUUGCUGGUUCAAUCAUCCUCUCUACAUGCAUGGUAGCCGUGGGCUUCAGCGGGAUAAUUGGGUUGGAAGGAACAGCAGUCGAGCAUCUAACUCAUCCGAGUACAAGCAGCAGUAUACUUUCGACAAAGCAUGCAACUACAACCGCCAUGAAGGAAAAACCAAAGUCAAGCAAGUGAAGCUGAAUUUCCUUGGGCUUCCACUGCGUCCAGGUACAAUACUAUGUUCGUACUAUAUGAAUCGCGGAACAUGCAAAUUUGGCACCAACUGUAAGUUUCACCAUCCAGAUCCAGAAUCAGAAGACGAGAUUUUGAAUGCUCCUCAGCAUACUACUCAAGGAUCAUAUCAAAUGAACCUUUCAACAAAGCAUGUCCAACGAGCACUGAAUGGGCAUUCUGUUCCCUUAGUUACAUCACCAACUAUUGGAACAUCAGAAAUAGUUCCAACUCAAGGAGUCAAUCCAUGUCCAGAAUGGAGUAAAUAUCAGAUGGAUGAAAACAAGCAAGGAAAAUCAGAUUGGGAUCCUUUCACUACUAAAGUUUUUUGUGAUAUUUGUACCGAUGAGGUUUUAUCUGGAAAUCGACCAACCGACCAUUUGAAUGGUAUUGGGUAUGAGAACUUAUGCGCCAAGUUUAAUGAAAAAACAAAAAAAGGCUACAAUCACAAGCAAUUUGAAAGUAAGUGGGAGUCAUUGAAGAAAGACUACCAGACAUGGAAGGCAUUGAUGGAGAGUGAAGAUAAUCUAGGGCAGGGUACUAAAAUGAAUACAAUAUCUGCAAGUCUAGAAUGGUGGGCAAAAAAGAUGGAGGUAAUGCCAGAUUGCGGAAAGUUCUGUUUUGCGCCACUCGAGAAUGUUAAUCUUUUAAAUAUAAUGUUCGAGGAUAUGGUGGAUUUAGGUUCAACAUCACCUGAAACUAAUUUGGAAGUCAAUGCAACUAUCAGAAGUGAGCAAGGUCCUGGUGAUGGAAAUGAUGUAGGCAUCAUUGAUAACUUGAAGGGGACCUGCUGCAGCCAUCAGCCUCUAUUGCAUCCUUCCGGAACAUCGCACCCUGAUAUAUCUCCAAUACAUAAAACUGCUCGGAAUUGGACGGAGAUUUCUGGAGAUUUUUCUGGAAUAUAUAAUGUUUGCAGCGAAGAAGGACCAGAGGGGGGCCAUCAGGUCGCCACACGGCCUGGUGGCAUGCUCCCCCAGGGGGCACCACCUGACCGUGUAGGCCCCCUGGCCACUCCCAUCCAAUGUCGGCAACACCAUUGCCUUCGGCCGCUAGGAGGGCUAGAACAGAAGUACAACCAGCCGGAUCCAUGCAGAGGAUGGGGAAGGGCACGUCGUAGCCAGGAGGAGGAGAGUCGCCACCGCUCGAUUUGGCCGAAACUUACAUCCCUCGUACCGCACACGAGCACACAGGAGGCCUCCGCUCCCACACAGCCUGCCCACGUCGUCGCCAGGAGCACCUGCCGUCGUGUCGCGGAGCCCCGCGUCAUCCCAUCGCCACCGCUCAACUGGCCACCCCGCGCCCAGUCGCUGGUGUUGAGCAGAGCGGGAGGGUGGAGGGAGGAUGGGGCACCAGGUUGGCAGCCCGGUGCACGCCCCGGCCACCCUCCUCUCGGGCAGCCACCACCCAGUGCGCCACAACUAUCUUGGCCCAUGCCGCACUGCCGCCCCGAGCUUGCGCCACUCAUGUUGCUCUCACCGCCACAAAUAACCGCUGCCCCAAGGGUGCGUACUGCUGUUACUCGCUUCCUCUGCUUGUGCUCUCCGCACGUCCAACCUCAACGGCUCACUCAGGGAGACCUCGGCCGUGCUCUCGACGUCCUCAGCAAGCCUCGGCACCCACCGGAAACGCACCCGGCACAUCGUCGACAUUCCGACGCGGCUCUCCUCCCCACUACGCUCCUAGGAUCUCGGGUCUUCGUGUCAUCCGUAGCUAUCACAAUCGCUCCUCCGUUCUUCUCUCCUUUUAUUUCAUUUUGUUUAAACGACACAUGGAUCCCACAUGUCAGCUCGCGUCUCCUUUUGGUCCUUGAUGAGACCAGAGAAUCGCUGAACCCCCUUGUUCUUCAAAACCAACAGUUUUCUGCGUCAAUGUUUUCGCGUUAUUUUGGUGGCCAUGGGGAAAAGGAAGGCGCCUUGUUCCCGCCUAAAGCAAUGGACAAGCCUGUUAGAUAUACUUCAGCACACCAUUGGCAUUGGAGCUUGUCAGACAAGACCAUUCCAGUUGCUCUGAAAUAUCAGUCCAUUGGCAUUGGAGCUUGUCAGACAAGACCAUUCCAGUUCCAUUAG